ACGACCUUACUUGAACAGGAUCUGUUCUAUAGGAUCGUACUACUGUGUCCUUGAUUUCAAAGGAGACAGGAACAUAAAUCUGGUGGAUGAAUCGUGACCGUGUGAUCGGAGCGUGAUUAACGGUUCUGUGAUGAGACUCUACGAGUGUCAUCAUGUGUGACUGUAGAUGAUCGUUCUCAGCUGGCACUGUCUGGUUGGGUCGGUUACACGGUAGUCUGACAGAUU